GAUGAACGCUAGCUACAGGCUUAACACAUGCAAGUCGAGGGGUAACGAGAGGGAAGCUUGCUUUCCUUGUCGACGACCGGCGGAUGGGUGAGUAACGCGUAUCCAACCUGCCCUUCAGUAAGGGAUAGCCUUUCGAAAGAAAGAAUAAUACCUUAUGUGAUCGUUUGAUGACAUCAGACGACGAUCAAAGAUUUAUCGCUGAAGGAUGGGGAUGCGUCCCAUUAGGCAGUAGGCGGGGUAACGGCCCACCUAACCUACGAUGGGUAGGGGUUCUGGAAGGAAGGUCCCCCACAUUGGAACUGAGCCACGGUCCAAACUCCUACGGGAGGCAGCAGUGAGGAAUAUUGGUCAAUGGCCGUAAGGCUGAACCAGCCAAGUAGCGUGCAGGAUGACGGCCCUAUGGGUUGUAAACUGCUUUUAAACGGGGAUAAAGUGAGCCACGUGUGGUUUAUUGCAGGUACCGUUUGAAUAAGGACCGGCUAAUUCCGUGCCAGCAGCCGCCGUAA
rnacentral:rRNA from 1 species